rnacentral:lncRNA from 1 species
CGUGACCAAGAGCUGACGUGUGCAGAAGUCCUUCUUGUCCUGGUCGUUGUUCCCGUCUGAGUACCAGCUCCCCACUGCCCUGAGGGCGGGCCGGCCUGCGGCGGAGGGAAAAAGGAAGAGGAGAAGGAAAUUGUCCCGAAUCCCUGCAGUCUUUCUGUAGGUUGCGGCACAACGCCAGGCAAAAGAAGAGGAAGGAAUUUAAUCCUAAUCGGUGGAGGUCGAUUUGAGGAUUGGAAAGAUUGUUGGGAGUGGCACACCACUAGGGAAAAGAAGAAGGGGCGAACUGCUUGUCUUGAGGAGGUCAACCCCCAGAAUCAGCUCUUGUGGCCUUGAAGUGGCUGAAGACGAUCACCCUCCACAGGCUUGAGCCCAGUCCCACAGCCUUCCUCCCCCAGCCUGAGUGACUACUCUAUUCCUUGGUCCCUGCUAUUGUCGGGGACGAUUGCAUGGGCUACGCCAGGAAAGUAGGCUGGGUGACCGCAGGCCUGGUGAUUGGGGCUGGCGCCUGCUAUUGCAUUUAUAGACUGACUAGGGGAAGAAAACAGAACAAGGAAAAAAUGGCUGAGGGUGGAUCUGGGGAUGUGGAUGAUGCUGGGGACUGUUCUGGGGCCAGGUAUAAUGACUGGUCUGAUGAUGA